GGCGAGGAGCGCGGAGGGAGGCAGGGUUCGGGGGCCGAGAGGGAGCCCCGCCAGGCCGGGCGCCUCCGAGCAGAGCGCGGGCCCGGGAAGGGCCUGGCGCCGUCCAGGCCAGGCGGGCUGGGAAGCGGCCGCGCAGGAGCAGCGGCGUCCCGGGCUCGCCCCGAUCCCUCCUCGCCGGCUCUUCGCGGCGCCAGGCGCCUCGCGAGCCGGGGACGGAGGAGGCCAUCUUGCCCUGCCUGCCUGCCGCGGCGGAGGCGCGCAGAGAUGUUGGGGCGCGCGUGCAUUUGGGGUGGGGGGGCCGUGCUUCCUGCAGAAGGCAGACCCGUCGGCGCGGUGGGGCGGGGGGCUUCGACCCCAGGCGGCGCGGAGAGCCAGAAGGGCGGGUGGGGCCCGGAGACGCCCCACGGAAGGGCAUUUCGUGUCGGUGCGUGGCGAGGGCGCGCUGCCGCCUGAGACUCCCCAGGCGCGCGUUGCGCGGAGCGACGGAUCGAGGGGGGAUCGCGUGGCCCGCACUUUGCACAGAAACAAUAGGCCUCUCUUGAAAGCGACGUUCCGAGCCUGGCAGAAUGUGAUCUUGACCCGCUUUUCGGCAGGAGGUUGGUGCUGGAGCAAAUGUGCAGGCGCGACGUUUGCAAAACAUAUUUCCCGUUCGGUGACUCCCGUGCGUCAACUCAAGUUGGCCCAAUAAAUAAUGUCAUUUGACCUAC